CACAUUGCAAAGCAAGUGCUGCCAUUUGCACGGCAACUGGAUGAGGACAGUGUAGUCUUCCAUCGAGGAGAUCAUGCUUCAAUUGGAGAAAGAAUUGGUAUCUCGUCAGUUCCUCCCUCAGAGUAUUUGGCUCCGAAGAGUAGAAUUUCACUUUCAAUCGUAAGGUAUAUGGUGGUCCGACUUGACUUUUAACUUGUUUCUUAAUUGGUUUGGUCGGAUCUAACCAAUGCUGCACAUUGUUGCUGUCUGUAUACUGUAGCCCAAAAUAAUCCUUCUCGAUCAAAUCCAGACUGUAGAAAACUUGUUCGUAGAGAUCGCUGGCCAGUGCUUUUUUC
rnacentral:misc_RNA from 1 species